GGAAAUCCCUUGUCUGGAUCCACUGCAGAAAGUAUGCAGAAUGGUUUAUCGAGAGACACCACAUAAAUCCAGCACUCUUUAGGUGCCCACAGGGAUACAGCCAGGAGAGAUAUCCUGAGAUCUUGACAGUGAUGCUAGCUACAGUCACCUCUACAUGAGACCCUGAACCAGUGGAAUGACAGGGCAGCGGAGGCAGAGCAGGACAGGAGAGUGGACAAAAAGAAGACCAUGAGAUGUGAGGCCUCAUUUGAGGAGCACUGUCUGCCCCAGCUCCUGCCC